rnacentral:rRNA from 1 species
GGACCCGCACAAGCGGUGGAGUAUGUGGUUUAAUUCGAUGCAACACGAAGAACCUUACCAGGGUUUGAAAUCAUUUCAAAACUCCUUGAAAGAGGAGCCUCCUUCGGGAUGAAAUGACAGGUGGUGCAUGGCUGUCGUCAGCUCGUGUUGUGAAAUGUCGAGUUAAGUCCCUUAACGAGCGAAACCCUUGUCCUUAGUUGCCAGCGAGUAAUGUCGGGGACUCUAAGGAGACUGCCGGUGUUAAACCGGGGAAGGUGGGGAUGACGUCAAGUCCUCAUGGCCUUUAUGUCUAGGGCUGCACACGUCCUACAAUGCACUAUACAAAGCGACGCAAAAUCGUGAGAUCGAGCAAACCGCAUAAAGUAGUGCCCAGUUCGGAUUGCAGGCUGAAAUUCGCCUGCAUGAAGCCGGAAUCGCUAGUAA